UAAAGAAAGCGUAACAGCUCACUGGUCUAAUUAAGUCGUCCUGCGCCGAAGAUGUAUCGGGGCUAAAGCCAUGCACCGAAGCUGCGGACCGUGCUUGCACGGUGGUAGCGGAGCGUUCUGUAAGCCUGUGAAGGUGUACCGCGAGGUAUGCUGGAGGUAUCAGAAGUGAGAAUGCUGACAUGAGUAACGAUAAGGGGGGUGAAAAACCCCCCCGCCGGAAGACCAAGGUUUCCUGCGCAACGCUAAUCGGCGCAGGGUUAGUCGGCCCCUAAGGCGAGGGCGAAAGCCGUAGUCGAUGGGAAAUCGGUUAAUAUUCCGAUACUUGUUUAUGAUGCGAUGGAGGGACGGAGAAGGUUAGGUGUACCAGGCGUUGGUUUUCCUGGGGAAA
rnacentral:rRNA from 1 species